GCCCGGAUGGUGAAACUGGUAGACACAAGGGACUUAAAAUCCCUCGGCGCAAGCCGUGCCGGUUCGAUUCCGGCUCCGGGCACCA
rnacentral:tRNA from 2 species